rnacentral:rRNA from 1 species
GACGAACGCUGGCGGCGUGCCUAAUACAUGCAAGUAGAACGCUGAAGAAAGGAGCUUGCUUCUUUUGGAUGAGUUGCGAACGGGUGAGUAACGCGUAGGUAACCUGCCUUGUAGCGGGGGAUAACUAUUGGAAACGAUAGCUAAUACCGCAUAACAGCUUUUGACACAUGUUAGAAGCUUGAAAGAUGCAAUUGCAUCACUACGAGAUGGACCUGCGUUGUAUUAGCUAGUAGGUAGGGUAACGGCCUACCUAGGCGACGAUACAUAGCCGACCUGAGAGGGUGAUCGGCCACACUGGGACUGAGACACGGCCCAGACUCCUACGGGAGGCAGCAGUAGGGAAUCUUCGGCAAUGGGGGCAACCCUGACCGAGCAACGCCGCGUGAGUGAAGAAGGUUUUCGGAUCGUAAAGCUCUGUUGUUAGGGAAGAACAAGUACCGGAGUAACUGACGGUACCUUGACGGUACCUAACCAGAAAGCCACGGCUAACUACGUGCCAGCAGCCGCGGUAACAC